rnacentral:rRNA from 1 species
UACGGAGGGUGCAAGCGUUUAAUCGGAAUUACUGGGCGUAAAGCGUGCGCAGGCGGUUUGUUAAGUCUGCUGUGAAAUCCCCGAGCUCAACUUGGGAAUUGCAGUGGAUACUGGCAAGCUGGAGUACGGUAGAGGAAGGUGGAAUUCCCGGUGUAGCAGUGAAAUGCGUAGAGAUCGGGAGGAACACCGGUGGCGAAGGCGGGUCUCUGGGCCGAUACUGACGCUGAGGAGCGAAAGCGUGGGGAGCGAACAGG